rnacentral:ncRNA from 1 species
AAACAUAAUCGCUAUUCUGGUGUCUUUUAUAAGACUGAAAAGGGAACUUGGUGAAAAACCAAGACUGCCCCCGCAACUGUAAAUGUGGACGAAAUGACAAAACCACUGCAUCGCACAGCCGCUCUUUAAGAGCCGCCAUGAUGCGGGAAGGGUCAAAGUAGGAAGAAGCAUGAGUCAGGAGACCUGCCAGAAUGUCCAGUUUCAA